AUUGAACGCUGGCGGCAUGCCUUACACAUGCAAGUCGAACGGCAGCAUGAUCUAGCUUGCUAGAUUGAUGGCGAGUGGCGAACGGGUGAGUAAUACAUCGGAACGUGCCCUGUAGUGGGGGAUAACUAGUCGAAAGAUUAGCUAAUACCGCAUACGACCUGAGGGUGAAAGUGGGGGACCGCAAGGCCUCAUGCUAUAGUAGCGGCCGAUGUCUGAUUAGCUAGUUGGUGAGGUAAAGGCUCACCAAGGCGACGAUCAGUAGCUGGUCUGAGAGGAGGAUCAGCCACACUGGGACUGAGACACGGCCCAGACUCCUACGGGAGGCAGCAGUGGGGAAUUUUGGACAAUGGGCGAAAGCCUGAUCCAGCAAUGCCGCGUGUGUGAAGAAGGCCUUCGGGUUGUAAAGCACUUUUGUCCGGAAAGAAAUGGCUCUGGUUAAUACCUGGGGUCGAUGACGGUACCGGAAGAAUAAGGACCGGCUAACUACGUG
rnacentral:rRNA from 1 species